rnacentral:tRNA from 1 species
UUGAAAAAUAGCCAAUCAUUAUCGCCCUCUCAAGGCGGAGUCAGGGGUUCAACUCCCCUACUGGAUACCA